rnacentral:rRNA from 1 species
GACGAACGCUGGCGGCGUGCUUAACACAUGCAAGUCGAACGCUGAAGCACCAGCUUGCUGGUGUGGAUGAGUGGCGAACGGGUGAGUAAUACGUGAGUAACCUGCCCUUGACUCUGGGAUAAGCCCGGGAAACUGGGUCUAAUACUGGAUGCUACAUGUCACCGCAUGGUGGUGUGUGGAAAGGGUUUACUGGUCUUGGAUGGGCUCACGGCCUAUCAGCUUGUUGGUGAGGUAAUGGCUCACCAAGGCGACGACGGGUAGCCGGCCUGAGAGGGUGACCGGCCAAACUGGGACUGAGAAACGGCCCAGACUCCUACGGGAGGCAGCAGUGGGGAAUAUUGCACAAUGGGCGAAAGCCUGAUGCAGCGACGCCGCGUGAGGGAUGACGGGCUUCGGGUUGUAAACCUCUUUCAGCAGGGAAGAAGCCACAAGUGACGGUACCUGCAGAAGAAGCGCCGGCUAACUACGUG